rnacentral:rRNA from 1 species
UUCCCGUAGGGGGACCUGCGGAUGGAUCAUUAACGUUUAAUGAACUAAUUAAAGAUGUAGACGCUUAUGGUGUCUACUAUCUUUUACCCUUGUGGUCUAAUAGGAUUAGUUAAUUAUGAUUAUUAUUAGUAGUGUUUGACUAGGACACAUUGAUGUGUGUAGUAGAUGGACGCGCUAAUAAUAGGAUUAAUAGACAAAGACAUUUAUUUAUUAUACAUUUCAAAUGACUAAAGUAACCUUGUGAAUCACAAAGCAAUGCGUAUAUUUAUAUAUGUUUGUUUAUUUGUUUACCAAGUAAAACAACUAAUAAUUUUAUACAACUGCUAGCAACGGAUCACUCGGCUCUCGCGUCGAUGAAGAACGUAGCGAAGUGCGAAAAUUAAUGCGACACGCAACACGUGGUUCAAUCGAGAUUUUUGAACGCAUAUUGCACCCGACGGGUUUACUUGUCGGGUCUGCCUGUCUGAGUAUUAAUACGGACCCAAUUUAAUUAAUAAUUUUGUUAUUAUUACAUUAAGUUGGAGCUCAUUAAUGGUACAUUUGUAUUAUUGAUGGAUUUGAAUGUUCAACUGAUGUGUUAAUUUAUUAAUAUAUAUAUAGUUGAUCGUUUGAAAUGUAUUGGUUAAUUAAUCGAUUGUUAAUGAUUGCCAAACGCUAUUAAAGCAUUGUUAAUCAUCUUUUACUAGAUGUUCAUUGCUUGUAUUAAGUGAAUGGGACCACAACAUUAGCCAUUUAAUUUAUUAAAUGAUGAUUAAACCACUUGCAUAGCUGUUUAUUAUUAUUAAUAGUAGUGAAUAGUUAUACACCUUACUCAAACCAUCUUAAUCUCAGAUCAGGCAGGAUGACCCGCUGAACUUAAGCAU